rnacentral:rRNA from 1 species
CCAAGGAGUCUAGCAUAUAUGCAAGCUGAUCAGUCUUAUUCAGGCUUGAGAGGCGUAUUGAAAGAAAUUGAUGUGAUAAACACAUGGAAACAUUGUGUUUCGCAACAUCAACCCAUGUUUAAUCCACUUUACUGUGAUUUUCAUGGAGUUCUAGUAUAUAUGCUAGUACCCGAAAGAUGGUGAACUAAGCCCGGACAAGAUGAAGCCAGAGGAAACUCUGGUGGAGGUCUGUAGCGAUUCUGACGUGCAAAUCGAUCGUCAGAUCCGGGUUUAGGGGCGAAAGACUAAUCGAACCGUC